AUUGAACGCUGGCGGCAGGCCUAACACAUGCAAGUCGAGCGGAUGAAGGGAGCUUGCUCCUGGAUUCAGCGGCGGACGGGUGAGUAAUGCCUAGGAAUCUGCCUGGUAGUGGGGGAUAACGUCCGGAAACGGGCGCUAAUACCGCAUACGUCCUGAGGGUGAAAGUGGGGGAUCUUCGGACCUCACGCUAUCAGAUGAGCCUAGGUCGGAUUAGCUAGUUGGUGGGGUAAAGGCCUACCAAGGCGACGAUCCGUAACUGGUCUGAGAGGAUGAUCAGUCACACUGGAACUGAGACACGGUCCAGACUCCUACGGGAGGCAGCAGUGGGGAAUAUUGGACAAUGGGCGAAAGCCUGAUCCAGCCAUGCCGCGUGUGUGAAGAAGGUCUUCGGAUUGUAAAGCACUUUAAGUGGGGAGGAAGGGCAGUAAGUUAAUACCUUGCUGUUUUGACGUUACCAACAGAAUAAGCACCGGCUAACUUCGUG
rnacentral:rRNA from 1 species